GAUGAAGAACGCAGCGAAAUGCGAUACGUAAUGUGAAUUGCAGAAUUCAGUGAAUCAUCGAAUCUUUGAACGCAUAUUGCGCUCUCUGGUAUUCCGGAGAGCAUGCUUGUUUGAGUAUCAGUAAACACCUCAACUCCCUUUUCUUUUUUGAAAUUGGAGCUGGACUUGAGUGAUCCCAACGCUUUCUUCCAAGAAAGUGGCGGGUUGCUUGAAAUGCAGGUGCAGCUGAACUUUUCUCUGAGCUAUAAGCAUAUCUAUUUAGUCUGCCUAAAAAACAGAUUAUUACCUUUGCUGCAGCUAACAUAAAGGAGACUAGUUCUUGUGCUGACUGAGGCAGGAUUCACAGAGACAGCUUCGGCUGACUUUGUAAACUCGAUCUCAAAUCAAGUAAGACUACCCGCUGAACUUAAGCAUAUCAAUAAGCGGAGGA
rnacentral:misc_RNA from 1 species